GACGAACGCUGGCGGCGUGCUUAACACAUGCAAGUCGAACGGAAAGGCCCUGCUUUUGUGGGGUGCUCGAGUGGCGAACGGGUGAGUAACACGUGAGUAACCUGCCCUUGACUUUGGGAUAACUUCAGGAAACUGGGGCUAAUACCGGAUAGGAGCUCCUGCUGCAUGGUGGGGGUUGGAAAGUUUCGGCGGUUGGGGAUGGACUCGCGGCUUAUCAGCUUGUUGGUGGGGUAGUGGCUUACCAAGGCUUUGACGGGUAGCCGGCCUGAGAGGGUGACCGGCCACAUUGGGACUGAGAUACGGCCCAGACUCCUACGGGAGGCAGCAGUGGGGCAUAUUGCACGAUGGGCGGAAGCCUGAUGCAGCAACGCCGCGUGCGGGAUGACGGCCUUCGGGUUGUAAACCGCUUUCGCCUGUGACGAAGCGUGAGUGACGGUAAUGGGUAAAGAAGCACCGGCUAACUACGUG
rnacentral:rRNA from 1 species